rnacentral:misc_RNA from 1 species
GAUGAAGAACGUAGCAAAAUGCGAUAAGUAAUGUGAAUUGCAGAAUUCAGUGAAUCAUCGAAUCUUUGAACGCACAUUGCGCCCGCUGGUAUUCCGGCGGGCAUGCCUGUUCGAGCGUCAUUUCAACCCUCUAGCCCCCGGGUUUGGUGUUGGGGAUCGGCUCUGCCCUUCUGGGCGGUGCCGCCCCCGAAAUACAUUGGCGGUCUCGCUGCAGCCUCCAUUGCGUAGUAGCUAACACCUCGCAACUGGAACGCGGCGCGGCCAUGCCGUAAAACCCCAACUUCUGAAUGUUGACCUCGGAUCAGGUAGGAAUACCCGCUGAACUUAAGCAUAUCAAUAAGCGGAGGA